GACGAACGCUGGCGGCGUGCUUAACACAUGCAAGUGGAGCGACGAACCAGGGCUUGCCCUGGGGCAGAGCCGCGAACGGGUGAGUAACACGUGGGUUACCUGCCUCGAUGACCGGGACAACCCGAGGAAACUCGGGCUAAUACCGGGUGUGCCCGCAAGGGGAAAGGAAGCUUCGGCCUCCGCAUCGAGAUGGGCCCGCGGCCCAUUAGCUUGUUGGUGAGGUAGCGGCUCACCAAGGCUUCGAUGGGUAGCUGGUCUGAGAGGACGAUCAGCCACACUGGGACUGAGACACGGCCCAGACUCCUACGGGAGGCAGCAGUGGGGAAUCUUGCGCAAUGCGCGAAAGCGUGACGCAGCAACGCCGCGUGGGGGAAGAAGGCUUUCGGGUUGUAAACCCCUUUCAGUUGGGACGAAGCUCUGUCGGUUAAUAGCCGGUCGGAGUGACGGUACCUUCACAAGAAGCACCGGCUAACUACGUGCCAGCCGCCGCCGUAA
rnacentral:rRNA from 1 species